rnacentral:siRNA from 1 species
AAGUCCAACAUAGCAUAUUCUAAG